rnacentral:tRNA from 1 species
GGAGGGGUGGCAGAACGGCAAUGCACCGGUCUUGAAAACCGGCGGGGCGAGAGCCCCAUGUGGGUUCGAAUCCCACCCCCUCCG